CCAGCACUUUGGGAGGCCAAGGUGGGAGGAUCACGAGGUCAGGAGAUCGAGACCAUCCUAGCUAACACAAUGAAGCCCCAUCUCUACUGAAAAUUAGUCAGGCGUGGUGGUGGGCGCCUGUAGCCCGAGCUACUCGGGAGGCUGAGGCAGGAGAAUGACAUGAACCUGGGAGGUGGAGCUUGCAGUGAGCUGAGAUCUUGCCACUGCACUCCAGCCUGGGCAACAAAGAGAGACUCCGUCUCAAAAUAAAUAAAUAAGGAACUGCCGGGCGCGGUGGCUCACGCCUAUAAUCCCAGCACUUUGGGAGGCCAAGGUGGGUGGAUCACGAGGGCAGGAGAUCGAGACCAUCCUGGUUAACACGGUGAAACCCCGUCUCUACUAAAAAUACAAAAAAAUUAGCCGGGC
rnacentral:lncRNA from 1 species